UGGCAGCCAAUUAAGUUGACUGUGCUCUUUUCCCCAUGGGGACCCAGUGUGCAAUGGCUGCAAACAGCCGCCUUCUUGGUAGUGUAUGCAGCUUGUUACCUGUACAGAGUGCCCUAAGGGAACUCGGAGACAACU
ensembl:snoRNA SNORA70 Small nucleolar RNA SNORA70